UGCCAGAAGACGAGAGCCAACAGAAAAAAAGGGAUCACGCCUGUUGCGAAGAAAAAUGCAAAAGGACAAAAUAUCGACUUGGCAACUAGAGAAAGAGUCGCGGCGGGAGCGACGGCCGCCCAUCCGACGAUGGUUUUUUGGUGUGCCUUUUUUUGUGUGGGGCGCACGAGGCGAGACAGAGAAUCGACCCACGACACGAAAAGGGGGCGCCAUGUGUGCCCUUUGCACGGCAACCCGCAAAGUUUCCCUCAAAAAUGCGCUCUCUGAAAAAAAAGAAGAAAAAAGAAAAGGAUGAAAAUGAUCCUCCGCCAGACUUUUAUACACCAUCGUGCGCACUCUUUUCUCUUUGUGGCCUGGUUGCCCCCGGCGUCUUUGCCGUGUAAAAGAGGUGCGCACAGCAAAAGGAUUGGAUGGGGGGCGACUAGAUAAAGCGCGAUCCAGCGGGACCUCGCGCGAGGGGCGCCGCGCCGAGUUGGGCCAGCGUCCUCUGGCGGCGCUCGCGCUCGUAGGCGUCGGCCGCGUGCGCCUCGGCGGCGCCAAGGGAGCAGCGCACGUGCGGCGAUCCGUUGGGCGUGCACGGCGCGCAUUCGCUGCAAUUUUCGGGAAAGUGCUGGCCCGACGCCGGGCCGCCGUUGAUGACGAUCUCACAGUUGGCCAGUUGAUCGCACCGGCUGCCGGUCCACCGGUAGGUGGCGCCGUUCUCCUCGCCGCCACUGUUGUGGCACGAAAAGCAGGCGCACCCCGUGGUGUCGCCCGUCCACCGGCCGUUGCCCGAGCACGACUGGUCGGUGGUACACGUGCCGCCGCCCCAGCCCGACUUGCACGGGCACACGCCGCCGCCCAGCGGCGACGGCACGGCGUCGCCGGCCGUCGACGGGUUGAUGAGCACGGGAUGGUCGCCCCAGCCAUAGUCGGCAAAGGCCUUGACCUUGGACGCCGACACAAGGGCCGCCGGGUCGAGGUUGGCGGCCGUGCACACGGUCUGGUCGGCCAGCGGCGAGCAUCCGUGGCCGGGAUUGUAGAGGGAGCCGUUGACGCACGAGCACGCCCACACGGCGUCGCCCGUGGCGGGGUCGCGCGUGGCCACCCAGUUGCCAAAGCCGCGCACGCAGCCCGAGGCGUGGGGGCCGGUGCCCGGCCCGUAGGGCGGCUCGGCGAUGCAGGCGCUCUUGGCCGUGUCGCACACAAAGCCCGAGCCGCACGGGUGGUCGGCGCUGCAGUAGCCCUUGACGUAGACGCACGUGUUGGUCUUGGCGUCGCACGUUUGGCCGGCGCCGCACGUGACCCCGCCGCAGCACGAGGCCUUGGGCGUGCAGGCGCCCGCCACGCACGUCAUACACGUGCCGCACUGGGCGUCGGUGGUGCACGCGAGCGUGUUGGCCUUGCACUGCCUGUCGAUGCACACGGUGCCGCUGCCGCACGGCGGCGUGCAGUCGUCGGGGUUGGUCGGGUCGUUGCCCCCGCCCCCGUUGGUGCCGCGGCGCCCCCACAGCCACACGGCGACGCCGACAACGGCCAGCACGGCCACGAGGACGACCGCGGCGAUGACGCCCGCGCGCCGGGACGACCGGAGGCGCCGGUCCUGUUCCAGUUGCUCUUGCACGAGCGCGCCGAGCGGCGUCGCCACGGGCACGGCGGCAGUGGUCAUUUUCUUCUUUCCCUUUGUUUUUCCUUUUAGGCCUGGAUCGCGCGUCGCUCUCGGGUCGACCGUAACAGCGGAUGCGCACAAAAAAAAAGAGGGGAAAAGAUGGCGGCGACUUUUUGCCGAGGGGAAAACAAACCCAAGAAAAAAAACACAAAGAGCCUGCAC
rnacentral:lncRNA from 1 species